rnacentral:rRNA from 1 species
AAGACCUUGCGCUUUUGGAGCGGCCGAUGCCUGAUUAGCUUGUUGGUAAGGUAAAGGCUUACCAAGGCUUCGAUCAGUAGCUGGUCUGAGAGGACGGCCAGCCACACUGGGACUGAGACACGGCCCAGACUCCUACGGGAGGCAGCAGUGGGGAAUUUUGGACAAUGGGGGAAACCCUGAUCCAGCCAUGCCGCGUGAGUGAAGAAGGCCUUCGGGUUGUAAAGCUCUUUCAGCCGGAACGAAACGGUUACGGAUAAUACCCGUGGCUACUGACGGUACCGGAAGAAGAAGCACCGGCUAACUACGUGCCAGCAGCCGCGGUAAUACGUAGGGUGCGAGCGUUAAUCGGAAUUACUGGGCGUAAAGCGUGCGCAGGUGGUUUUGUAAGUCAGAUGUGAAAGCCCCGGGCUCAACCUGGGAACU